rnacentral:rRNA from 1 species
AGUGAACGCUGGCGGCAUGCCUUACACAUGCAAGUCGAACGGCAACACGGUUUCGGCUUCUGCCGACUGGUGGCCGGGGGCGUAAGACAGCGGAAUAUACCCGAAUCUAGGUUUUCGCGAGGCGUAACGUAUGCAAAUAUACCAUACUACCUAAGAAGAACAACGGGGGAAAUCAGGAGCUCGUCCGACCUGACCGGCUUGUAGGAGCCGAUGUCGGAUUAGGUAGUUGGUGGGGUAAAGGCCUACCAAGGCGACGAUCCGUAGCUGGUCUGAGAGGAUGAUCAGCCACACUGGAACUGAGACACGGCCCAGACUCCUACGGGAGGCAGCAGUGGGGAAUAUUGGACAAUGGGCGCAAGCCUGAUCCAGCCAUGCCGCGUGGGGGAAGAAGGCCUUCGGGUUGUAAAGCGCUUUUGUAGGGAAAGAAAAGCAGCAGGCUAAUACAGAGGGGUUAUGACGGUACCGAAAGAAUAAGCACCGGCUAACUACGUG